GUGGGGAAUAUUGGACAAUGGGCGCAAGCCUGAUCCAGCCAUGCCGCGUGAGUGAUGAAGGCCCUAGGGUUGUAAAGCUCUUUCACCGGUGAAGAUAAUGACGGUAACCGGAGAAGAAGCCCCGGCUAACUUCGUGCCAGCAGCCGCGGUAAUACGAAGGGGGCUAGCGUUGUUCGGAAUUACUGGGCGUAAAGCGCACGUAGGCGGAUAUUUAAGUUAGGGGUGAAAUCCCAGGGCUCAACCCUGGAACUGCCUCUAAUACUGGGUAUCUCGAGUCCGAGAGAGGUGAGUGGAAUUCCGAGUGUAGAGGUGAAAUUCGUAGAUAUUCGGAGGAACACCAGUGGCGAAGGCGGCUCACUGGCUCGGUACUGACGCUGAGGUGCGAAAGCGUGGGGAGCAAACAGGAUUAGAAACCCCUGUAGUCC
rnacentral:rRNA from 1 species